UNUGCUGUGAAAGGCUGGGGCUUAACCCUGGUUUUGCAGUGGGUACGGGCUAACUAGAGUGCAGUAGGGGAGACUGGAAUUCCUGGUGUAGCGGUGGAAUGCGCAGAUAUCAGGAGGAACACCGAUGGCGAAGNCAGGUCUCUGGGCUGUAACUGACGCUGAGAAGCGAAAGCAUGGGGAGCGAACAGGAUUAGAUACCCUGGUAGUCCAUGCCGUAAACGUUGGGCACUAGGUGUGGGGGACAUUCCACGUUCUCCGCGCCGUAGCUAACGCAUUAAGUGCCCCGCCUGGGGAGUACGGCCGCAAGGCUAAAACUCAAAGAAAUUGACGGGGGCCCGCGCAAGCGGCGGAGCAUGCGGAUUAAUUCGAUGCAACGCGAAGAACCUUACCAAGGCUUGACAUAUACUGGACUGCGUCAGAGAUGGCGUUUCCCUUCGGGGCUGGUAUACAGGUGGUGCAUGGUUGUCGUCAGCUCGUGUCGUGAGAUGUUGGGUUAAGUCCCGCAACGAGCGCAACCCUCGUUCUAUGUUGCCAGCACGUGAUGGUGGGGACUCAUAGGAGACUGACGGGGUUAACUCGGAGGAAGGUGGGGAUGACGUCAAAUCAUCAUGCCCCUUAUGUCUUGGGCUUCACGCAUGCUACAAUGGCCGGUACAGAGGGUUGCGAUACUGUGAGGUGGAGCUAAUCCCUAAAAGCCGGUCUCAGUUCGGAUUGGGGUCUGCAACUCGACCCCAUGAGGUCGGAGUCGCUAGUAAUCGCAGAUCAGCAACGCUGCGGUGAAUACGUUCCCGGGCCUUGUACACACCGCCCGUCAAGUCACGAAAGUUGGUAACACCCGAAGCCGGUGGUCUAACCC
rnacentral:rRNA from 1 species